rnacentral:rRNA from 1 species
UACGAAGGGGGCUAGCGUUGCUCGGAAUUACUGGGCGUAAAGGGCUCGUAGGCGGCCAACUAAGUCAGACGUGAAAUCCCUCGGCUUAACCGGGGAACUGCGUCUGAUACUGGAUGGCUUGAGGUUGGGAGAGGGAUGCGGAAUUCCAGGUGUAGCGGUGAAAUGCGUAGAUAUCUGGAGGAACACCGGUGGCGAAGGCGGCAUCCUGGACCAAUUCUGACGCUGAGUGAGCGAAAGCCAGGGGAGCAAACGGG